ACAAAGCACAAGUUUAAAACAUCACAGAGAAGGUGCCAGGAAAUAUAUAAAUAUUUCCAGAACUUCAAAGAGCUGAGCUGGCUGCGUUUUAUUUUGUUGGUGAUGAGGGUGGAAGUGGUGUUGAGUAGUACAUGGAAAACUCAGGGAAAAACAAAUAAGUAAAAUGGAGGGAAAAAGACUCCACAAAACUCCACCAUAAUCUAAUCACCCAGAAAUAAUCAUUGAUACCACCUUGGGUUUUUGUCACUUUCUUGAGGAAGCAGGUCCAUGGCUGCAGAAGAAGAGGGACACACACCUUCAUGGCCCGUCGCAGCUCCUGCACAUCAUACA